UGCACUCAACACUGUAAAUUGCUCUGGAUGAGAGCGUCUGCUAAAUGACUCAAA
rfam:Salmo salar isolate Sally breed double haploid chromosome ssa05, whole genome shotgun sequence.